GAUCCAACUUUUUGUCCUAAUCUUCAGUUUCUGUGGGAAGGGAAAAGUUUGGUUAAUGAAUGGACCAAAGGGGGAGCAUGCCCGGGCUCUGGGUGGCAGCAGAGUUCCAGGGGGCCGACACACUGGCCCCAAGAGGGCAGAAGGCCAGUCAGUGGGCCACGCGGUAUCUUCCCACAGCCCCUCCAAUCUUCAAGGAGUUUACUAAGCUCAAAAGUGGAACCUUUGGAAUGGGGGCAGGUUCCAUCUACUGAGGCUGAUGUGAUGUGGAAUCAGGAUCAGCCCCGUCUCAGAACGCGCUCUGUAAUGACUGGAAAGACAGAAAAAACCAACUCUUCCUUUUCAAAAGUGAGCUGGAAACACCUGAUUUUGGUCGCCUUGCUGGGCCUGCUUCUUUGCGGGAGGCUCGUCAUGUGUGGAACUCAAAGCGAUGCUGCCAUCUGCUGUAGAAGUGGAGGAUUUCCCCCUCUCUUUCCUAAACAAUUUAACAGUUGUAGAAAUAAAGGAGA
rnacentral:lncRNA from 1 species